rnacentral:rRNA from 1 species
GGGGAAUUUUGGACAAUGGGCGAAAGCCUGAUCCAGCAAUGCCGCGUGCAGGAUGAAGGCCUUCGGGUUGUAAACUGCUUUUGUACGGAACGAAAAGGUUCUUUCUAAUAAAGAGAGCCCAUGACGGUACCGUAAGAAUAAGCACCGGCUAACUACGUGCCAGCAGCCGCGGUAAUACGUAGGGUGCAAGCGUUAAUCGGAAUUACUGGGCGUAAGGCGUGCGCAGGCGGUUAUGUAAGACAGAUGUGAAAUCCCCGGGCUUAACCUGGGAAUUGCAUUAGUGACUGCAUAGCUAGAGUGCGGCAGAGGGGGAUGGAAUUCCGCGUGUAGCAGUGAAAUGCGUAGAUAUGCGGAGGAACACCGAUGGCGAAGGCAAUCCCCUGGGCCUGCACUGACGCUCAUGCACGAAAGCGUGGGGAGCAAAC